UUCAUCUUAGGAGUUUUCCUUGGAAAAACUCCAGCCUAUGCUCAAAUCCAGAGUGUUCUAACCCACAUCUGGGGGCGUGGCUUGAAAUUGGAGAUUCACCUGCGACCAGAGUCAAGAUCAAUGUUAGUAAGGAUACCUAACUCGACAAUAAGGAAGAAAAUUGUGGACCAGGAAUUCUGGCAUAUAGGAAACGUACUUUUCUAUGUUGCUCAAUGGUCUGCUUCAGUCGCGACUCAGCCUCCCUCAUUCACCUCAAUCCCUCUUUGGGCUCAUUUCAAGGGUAUACCCUUUGAUUUAUAUACCCAAGAAGGCCUCGGCAGAGUAGGAGACCUCAUUGGUCACCCUCUUGAAGUAGACGACUUUACCAUGAGGAGAGUGAACAUUAAUAUUGCACAUAUUAAAUGCAGAGUUGAUUGCACCAAACCUUUGCCUCGUAGUGGAGAACUCGAAAGAGACAAU
rnacentral:lncRNA from 1 species